UUAUAAAAAUUAAGUUGAAAAAACAUUUACGCCCCAACUCAAAUUUAUAUAGCCUCACUGUCUCUGUCUCUAAUUCUCUAUCGCUCUACUUCUUUCUCUAUUCACAUGCAUAGCCUCGUCCGAUGUUAUAGAUGUCGUCGCCACCGCCAACGACUGAAUAAUCAUAAGGUCGUCUCUCUUCGUACUAUCUCGUGAUUUCCACUAAAUCAUCAUAAUGAUGUUCUCGUUCUUCAAGCAAUCGAGGCCUAAAGGCACCACAGGAAUUGGCGAAGGCAAUAAAUGAUAGUCUCAUGGAGAUCGAUUCCAUUACUGCAGCUGAAGCCAAAUCCCUAGAAAAAGGCCCUUGAUUUAAUUGAUGCUGUCAAGGGACUGCAUGCACGAGCAAAUCAUGGAUCAUACAUACAGGUUAUUUGGAAGAAAUAAAUAGCUAUAUUGAUUCCUGUUUAAACUUUGGAAUGCAAAUGAUGGAAUCACAUGAUCAUUGCCACUUGACUUGGACAAAUUUGCAAGAACUGCCAGAGAGAAAAAAGUGAGAAACGGUGGUGCUAAUCGAGGAAGGAGAAGAUGCAAGUGAGAAAUUCAUGUUCUUAGAUUUUGAAUUGGGGCUAUAUAAAUUAGAUAUUUAACAGUAUUUUUUAUAUUAGAAUCAAGAUAUCAGAAUGGGGGUUAUGAGUAUCUAUUAAUACAUUGUACGCGUUAUUCUUUUACAUUAAUUCUGAUAAAACUAAUUUAUCACAAAUUUUAAA